AUUGAACACUGGCGGCAGGCCUAACACAUGCAAGUCGAGCGAGAGGCGGACGGGUGAGUAGUUUCGGGGAAACUGCCUGAUGGAGGGGGAUAAAUACUGGAAACGGUAGCUACUACCGCAUAUCGUCAGAUGUGCCAUGGUUGGAUGAGCUAGUAGGUGGGGUAUUGGCUCACCAAGGCGACGUUCCCUACCUGGUCUGAGAGGAUGACCAGCCACACUGGAACUGAGACACGGUCCAGACUCCUACGGGAGGCAGCAGUGGGGAAUAUUGCACAAUGGGCGAAAGCCUGAUGCAGCCAUGCCGCGUGUGUGAAGAAGGUCUUCGGGUUGUAAAGCUCUGUUAGCGGGGAGGCGGUACCUGCAGAAGAAGCAACGGCUAACUACGUGCCAGCAGCCGCGGUAAUUC
rnacentral:rRNA from 1 species